GACGAACGCUGGCGGCGUGCUUAACACAUGCAAGUCGAACGGAAAGGCCCUGCUUUUGUGGGGUGCUCGAGUGGCGAACGGGUGAGUAACACGUGAGUAACCUGCCCUUGACUUUGGGAUAACUUCAGGAAACUGGGGCUAAUACCGGAUAGGAGCUCCUGCUGCAUGGUGGGGGUUGGAAAGUUUCGGCGGUUGGGGAUGGACUCGCGGCUUAUAAGCUUGUUGGUGGGGUAGUGGCUUACCAAGGCUUUGACGGGUAGCCGGCCUGAGAGGGUGACCGGCCACAUGGGGACUGAGAUACGGCCCAGACUCCUACGGGAGGCAGCAGUGGGGAAUAUUGCACAAUGGGCGGAAGCCUGAUGCAGCAACGCCGCGUGCGGGAUGACGGCCUUCGGGUUGUAAACCGCUUUCGCCUGUGACGAAGCGUGAGUGACGGUAAUGGGUAAAGAAGCACCGGCUAACUACGUG
rnacentral:rRNA from 1 species